UUGAACAUGGACUCUCGGUUAAUUCCGGGUUAAGAAACACAAAUGCAGCAUUGACAGGAACCAUGGCUAGAACAUCACAAGUCUUCAACAAAACAUCAUCAGCAGUAUGAGUACCAAUUCUACAAGGAAGUCAACGUUAAAACAAUGACAGAAUUCACAGAAGAGCAGUAGUGUGUGUGUGUGUCACACUUGUCUUCCCCACGUCUCCUAGGAUGAUGGUAAAGCUCCCUUGACAGAUGGUAAAGCUCCCUUGACAGAUGGUAAAGCUCCCUUGACAGAUGGUAAAGCUCCCUUGACAGAUGGUGCCAUGGUCAACGUUCAGUUCCACCUGGCGGAGGUGCUGUGGAUUGUUGUCACGUUCAAUCUGUUGUACUGGCCAGUUUUCAUCAUUUUGAUGCGUUUCAUAAACAAACCACACUACGACGAGGUUCUCAAAUCGAAUCUUCGCAGACUUUUUCGAAAGACGAGGGUGAUCCUGUACAAACAGUGUAUCAUCGGCUACAGAAGCCUUGUACUUGCAUACUUCAUGGCCUGUAGAAUGGUCGGCUUGAUGACCUCGCCGAAGAUUGUCUUUCCUGUACUCAACUAUCUGACCUGCUACUUUGUUUUUGGGUUUUGUCUGACCGGACUUGUCACCGCUUUAAACCACAGAUUUAAAAUGUCCCCAUAACCAGCAACGUGUGCUUGCUAAAAUGAAGUUUGUUUUGUAAAAGUCUGGCAACUGGAAAUGUGUUUUUGCUCCUAGCAUCAUAUUUUAUCAAAAAGAGUUUGUGUUUUAAAACUAAACCCUGUGACUAAUAAAAAACAACAGCAAAAGUACCUAAA